rnacentral:rRNA from 1 species
GACGAACGCUGGCGGCGUGCCUAAUACAUGCAAGUCGAACGAGAGCGACCGGUGCUUGCACUGGUCAAUCUAGUGGCGAACGGGUGAGUAACACGUGGGUAACCUGCCCAUCAGAGGGGGAUAACAUCCGGAAACGGAUGCUAAAACCGCAUAGGUCUUCGAGCCGCAUGGCUUGAAGAGGAAAAGAGGCGCAAGCUUCUGCUGAUGGAUGGACCCGCGGUGCAUUAGCUAGUUGGUGAGGUAACGGCUCACCAAGGCCGUGAUGCAUAGCCGACCUGAGAGGGUGAUCGGCCACAUUGGGACUGAGACACGGCCCAAACUCCUACGGGAGGCAGCAGUAGGGAAUCUUCCGCAAUGGACGCAAGUCUGACGGAGCAACGCCGCGUGAGUGAAGAAGGUUUUCGGAUCGUAAAACUCUGUUGUUAGAGAAGAACAAGUGCUAGAGUAACUGUUAGCGCCUUGACGGUAUCUAACCGGAAAGCCACGGCUAACUACGUG